AGACGGGAGCGAGCCCGCCUUCCGGGCGGAGCGCCCCCCCAGGCGGACCGAAGUGGGGCGGCUCUCUGGGAGGUGCGGCGUGCGGCCUUUCGGGCGCGGUUUGCUCUGCACAGCAACGAGGAGUGCAGCGUGGGGGAAACUACCGAUCACCCUGAGCUAAAGGUAUCCCGCCAGGGCUUCAGAGCAACCGAGAGUGCUCUGUGCUGCCGCUCCUCCAAGACUUACGAUCAUCAAUCUUCUAACAGCUAUCGUCUGUGCGCACGGAGAAGCGGAAGCGUCCCUCCGCUCUCACCGCUGUGUGGCGCCACCGCAUUCCAAAACGCAGAGGGGAAAAAACAGAAGUGGAAGAGUGGAAAACACAGCAUGCAACCCGUGGGUGCUAUGCAUGAUGCAAUAGCAGGGGGAUACAGCUUGCAGCCCCUGAUGACUCUGCAAACUGCAGCUGUGGGGACACAGAUUACAAUUCCUGAGCUCCAAGCAUAAUGCAGCCCAUAGAACUGGGCACAGUACUGGGAGAUACGCACAGUGCAAAGCCAUCAAACCACACAAAAUGCAGAAAUGGCUCUGCUCCCACAGGGCUUUGUGUCUUCCCAGCUUGCAACUGGAUACACUGAGAACUGCAAAUGAGACAUCUGGGUUCCUCAAUGAUGAGGCAGCGCACCAAAGAGGUGGAGGAAUCAGUUAUGUACUGUUAAUGAGUUACCAGCUCCUACUUGUUCUUUACAGCAUUUAUUGUACACACAAGCAUAUGGGAAAAACACCAACAUUCCUGCUGGAACCAGGUGUAAUCAAGUGCAGGUUACUUCCAGGUAAAGCAUGUUUGUGUGUUACAUUUCCAGUCGGGGAACAGCAUUAUGCAGCGGCUGCCUUCUCUUUGUAAGUUGCCAUCAUCUUCUUGAUCUCAGCAAUUGCUUUGCCAGGGUUCAAACCCUACAAAGAGGAAGUUCCAGCUAGUUUCUCCAGAAAUCAGCAUGUUUGAGUAUCCUCCCUGUUUUCCCACAAUCUAAGUUGUGCUAUUCAUAAGAACUGGCAGAGGAGAGGUUUGGCGACCAGUUUUUAAAGUUAGAGCCCAGCCUGGCGUUGCACUUUCAUCAAAUGCUGCCAGGGAUCCUGAGGGCACUGCAGCAAGCAAGACCACUAAGUCACAAGAUGCUCCAACCAAGCUUUUCAAAGCAAGGUUUUCCUACGAUUCAAACAUACAUCACAUCACAGAGGCCCUUAACCCUGCAGUACUGCUGGCAAGCCAAGCACACUUAAUCUCAAAAUGAGAGUGGGGAGAUCACAAGUGUCCUUCUAUAGCAUUGUGAUGACAGCACAGCGAGACAACGCAUGAGCAGGAAAUGACCACAGAGCACAGCUCACUAUGCAAUCUUUUCAAAGCUGAUCAAGAUAAGAGACAUGAUUUAAGCUUGCGAGGGGAAAUGUGUUAUCAACCAUAAACGUCUCAAACAUCAACAGACCAAGCCCUCGUGUGUUAUUUCCCUAUGCUGUGUACAGUCAGAUCUUCAAACAGAACCAUCAUCUUUAGCUGAACUACAGCUGACGUGAGCACGAUAAUCCCCUCUGUAGAGAUAAAUCCCCCCUUUUCUAGUUAGUGAAUCAUGUUAAACACACAAAACCAGCAGGCGCUGCUCCUGACAAACACCUGUCAGUCCGGAUCCCAAGCACCUUAUUUUCCCACAUCCGUGAUCAGCUCAAUUGUUUGCUGCCUUGUUACUUCACAGCUCAAGAAGAAUUCUGCUCUACUGUUGGUGCAAGCAAUGCUCAGGUAGAACAUAACACAGCUGGCAGGAAAAUGGAACUCUAUCUACCCAGCAACAGGCACAAGGUUACAGCAAGAUGGGAAGAGGCACACUCUUAUUUGAGAAAGUUUGCUCAGAUUUCAGCAGAAAUACCACAGACUACAGCCCUUCUGGGAAAUGCCCUUCUAGCACGAUGUCAGCAUAAAACACACCCCCCUGGGCACUGAAAACUUGCUGUCAUCUUCUCUAUUAUGCAAGUUGCUCAAUACGUCAGGACAGCAGCUACUGCUGGGGUUAUAUGCAUUACUCACAUCACCGAUCAGACAGACUUCCCUACAGCAUUUCUGGAAGCGUCCCUCACACAACCAGCAUGUUCCAGUCAUAGUCCUAAAUCCUGGAAACAGUCAGGUUCUCAAAAUCACGAAGAAGAGAUGUUUCUGUGAUGUGUAGUGUAGCAUAUACUCUGCCAUAUUCUCUUGCACAGUCACUACUGUAAACAUGACUGCUGAUAACUUGCCAUUUCAAAAGGAAAAAAGUCAACGAAAGCUUGAAGAAAACAAAACCUACUACCAGUGUUUUCCUACCAGUCUGGAAACGACUGCAGAAGGGACACAAGCAGAAACAACACCUACCUUUGGGCAAGUCCUUGUGCAGUUCAUGAUAGUGUGACAACGGUAGAGAGAAAAUGGGUCUUGAAGUUGUGCCAGGCGUUCCUCUGUGUAGUCAUCUCUGGAGUCGAUCAUCCAGCGAUAGGCCUGAAAAUCAGUGUCAUUGACACACCAAAUGAUUUCCCAAGGAACUAGAUGCUACUGUGCAUUAAUGUUUAACCCUGGUCUUAUCUGGAAGAGACGUUAAUGGUAAAAAUAACUUUAAAAAAGGGUAACCAGUUUCUGACGGUCUUCUAUGGAUUGCAAGUACUGCUCCUUGCCCUGUUUCGACUCGUCCUUCUUCUUCAGGUAAGGCUCGAUGGAUUUGUACU